AAAACGACUCUCGGCAACGGAUAUCUCGGCUCUCGCAUCGAUGAAGAACGUAGCGAACUGCGAUACUUGGUGUGAAUUGCAGAAUCCCGUGAACCAUCGAGUCUUUGAACGCAAGUUGCGCCCGAAGCCAUUAGGCCGAGGGCGCGUCUGCCUGGGUGUCACGC
rnacentral:rRNA from 1 species